UAGGGAAUAUUGCAAAAUGGGCGAAAGCCCGAUGCAGCAACGCCGCGUGGGCGAUGAAGGCCUUCGGGUCGUAAAGCCCUUUUUGAGGGGAUGAGGAAGGACAGUACCCUCAGAAUAAGCCUCGGCUAACUACGUGCCAGCAGCCGCGGUAAAACGUAGGAGGCGAGCGUUAUCCGGAUUUACUGGGCGUAAAGCGCGUGCAGGCGGAUUGGGGAGUUGGAUGUGAAAGCUCCCGGCUUAACUGGGAGAGGUCGUUCAAUACUUCCAGUCUUGAGUGCAGUAGAGGGAAGUGGAAUUCCGGGUGUAGUGGUGAAAUGCGUAGAUAUCCGGAGGAACACCAGUGGCGAAAGCGGCUUCCUGAACUGUAACUGACGCUCAGACGCGAAAGCUAGGGUAGCAAACG
rnacentral:rRNA from 1 species